rnacentral:rRNA from 1 species
GACGAACGCUGGCGGCGUGCCUAAUACAUGCAAGUCGAACGCAGGGGGGACGGGUGAGUAACACGUGGGUAACCUCCCAUUAGAGGAGAUAACACUUGGAAACAGGUGCUAAACAGAAACUGAUGGAGGGACCCGCGGUGCAUUAGCUAGUUGGUGAUGGAACGCCGCACCAAGUCCACGAUGCCUAGACGACCGGAUAGGCUGAUCGGCACACCUGGAACUGAGACACGGCCCAGACGCCUACGGGAGGCAGCAGUGGGGAAGCUGCGGCAAUGGACGAAAGUCUGACAGAGCCACGCUGCGUGAGUGAAAAAGGUUUUCGGUUGGUAAAGCUCGGUUGUUAGAGAAGCGGUAUCUAACCAGAAAGCCACGGCUAACUACGUGCCAGCAGCCGCGGUAAUUC